rnacentral:rRNA from 1 species
AGAGUUUGAUCAUGGCUCAGGACGAACGCUGGCGGCGUGCUUAACUCAUGCAAGUCGAACGGAAAGGCCCUUCGGGGUACUCGAGUGGCGAACGGGUGAGUAACACGUGGGUGAUCUGCCCUGCACUUUGGGAUAAGCCUGGGAAACUGGGUCUAAUACCGAAUAGGACCACGCGCUUCAUGGUGUGUGGUGGAAAGCUUUUGCGGUGUGGGAUGGGCCCGCGGCCUAUCAGCUUGUUGGUGGGGUAAUGGCCUACCAAGGCGACGACGGGUAGCCGGCCUGAGAGGGUGACCGGCCACACUGGGACUGAGAUACGGCCCAGACUCCUACGGGAGGCAGCAGUGGGGAAUAUUGCACAAUGGGCGCAAGCCUGAUGCAGCGACGCCGCGUGAGGGAUGACGGCCUUCGGGUUGUAAACCUCUUUCAAUAGGGACGAAGCGCAAGUGACGGUACCUAUAGAAGAAGCACCGGCCAACUACGUGCCAGCAGCCGCGGUAAUACGUAGGGUGCGAGCGUUGUCCGGAAUUACUGGGCGUAAAGAGCUCGUAGGUGGUUUGUCGCGUUGUUCGUGAAAACUCACAGCUUAACUGUGGGCGUGAGGGCGAUACGGGCAGACUAGAGUACUGCAGGGGAGACUGGAAUUCCUGGUGUAGCGGUGGAAUGCGCAGAUAUCAGGAGGAACACCGGUGGCGAAGGCGGGUCUCUGGGCAGUAACUGACGCUGAGGAGCGAAAGCGUGGGGAGCGAACAGGAUUAGAUACCCUGGUAGUCCAA